AGCGAACGCUGGCGGCGUGCCUAACACAUGCAAGUCGAACGUGAAAGGGAGCAAUCCUGAGUAAAGUGGCGCACGGGUGAGUAACGCGUAGGUAAUCUACCCCAGAAUCUGGAAUAACCUGCCGAAAGGCGGGCUAAUACUGGAUAGAGCGACGGAAUCCGUAAUUGGGUUUUUCGGGAAAGGGAGGAAGCAAUUCCCUUCGUUCUGGGAUGAGCCUGCGUCUCAUUAGCUAGUUGGUGGGGUAAAGGCCCACCAAGCUAUGAUGGGUAGCUGGUCUGAGAGGAUGAUCAGCCACACUGGAACUGAAACACGGUCCAGACUCCUACGGGAGGUAGCAGUGGGGAAUCUUGCGCAAUGGACGAAAGUCUGACGCAGCCAUGCCGCGUGUGUGAAGAAGGCCUUAUGGUUGUAAAGCACUUUAGGCGAGGAGGAGGCUACUUUAGUUAAUACCUAGAGAUAGUGGACGUUACUCGCAGAAUAAGCACCGGCUAACUCUGUGCCAGCAGCCGCAGUAAGAC
rnacentral:rRNA from 1 species